AUACACAUUAGCCUUUUCUUUCCUAAGGUUAUUUUCCCUUAGCCAACUAUGCCAUCCGACUCGGUCUUGAGUCAAUCAACUGCGGAUAGUCCGCGCUCUGUCCGGCUCGAGGUGAAGGAACUCACACAUGCACCUCAGCCCUCAAUCACAAACCACAUCGCCCAACGGGUCGCCCAGAGCUGCGUACACCCGUGGUCAGGGAUCCCCCGGUGGGAGAGGAACAUGCCGCAUACACCCGCAGCCGAGAUCCCCGAUAGGGAGAGGAACAUGCCACAUGCACCCUAGCGCUCAUUGUUCU
rnacentral:lncRNA from 1 species